rnacentral:rRNA from 1 species
AUGAACGCUGGCGGCGUGCCUAAUACAUGCAAGUCGAGCGAACAGACGAGGAGCUUGCUCCUCUGACGUUAGCGGCGGCCGGGUGAGUAACCCGUGGAUAACCUACCUAUAAGACUGGGAUAAUUUCGGGAAACCGGAGCUAAUACCGGAUAAUAUAUUUAACGGCAUGGUUCUAUAGUAAAAGUCGGUUUUGCUGUCACUUAUAGAUGGAUCCGCGCCGCAUUAGCUAGUUGGUAAGGUAACGGCUUACCAAGGCGACGAUGCGUAGCCGACCUGAGAGGGUGAUCGGCCACACUGGAACUGAGACACGGUCCAGACUCCUACGGGAGGCAGCAGUAGGGAAUCUUCCGCAAUGGGCGAAAGCCUGACGGAGCAACGCCGCGUGAGUGAUGAAGGUCUUCGGAUCGUAAAACUCUGUUAUUAGGGAAGAACAAAUGUGUAAGUAACUAUGCACGUCUUGACGGUACCUAAUCAGAAAGCCACGGCUAACUACGUG